GGGGCUGGGCGCAGCCUGAUCAGCAUACCGCGUGUGUGAAGAAGGCCUGAGGGUUGUAAAGCACUUUCAAUUGGGAGGAAAACCUGUCGGCUAAUACCCGAUGCCUUGACAUUACCUUUAGAAAAAGCACCGGCUAACUCCGUGCCAGCAGCCGCGGUAAUAA
rnacentral:rRNA from 1 species